rnacentral:lncRNA from 1 species
GCCGGGUACUGACGUAACGUGCCCCGUUGCUCACGUUACCUCGCGGCAGGCCAACACGACUGAAAUGCCACGGCUUCCCUCCGUCUGCCCCUAUCCGUUUUCUGCCCUCUGGUACAAGUCCAGGAUAAAAAUUAAACCAAAUUAAGAAUACGGAAUCGACUUGAUGCCUAGUCGUCAGUCUCUUCUAUAGUUUUCUGCCGGUAAUUACGGAAGGAAGGAGUCUGUCAAAAAAGGAAAAAAAAAAAACGAGGAGUCAUCUGCAAUUGCCGGCAUUCAAGCAGAAAGAGAUAAGAAGAUGACUGAAGGCGGCACAGAAGUCUUCGCAAAAUCGACUCAAAACGACGAGGGGAAAAAACUAAGAAAACAAAUGGAAGCGAGUUUUUUUUUUUUAAAUUAUUGAUUGGAGCGAAUUUACCAACUCAGAACAAUGAAGCGACGAGUAUAUAUAUAUAUAUAUUAUUUUUUUUUCUUUUAUUAUGAAUCUUAUCUUAAAAUAUUAAAAUUUUAUAAAAAUAAUUUAGACAUAUAUUACAAUGGAGUUAAACAUAUAUUACACCAUCCAUCAUGUCCAAAAAUUAUAAAUUAAUUUUUGAAAGUAUAUUAAAAAUAUAAACGUAAAUAGUAAAUGAGAUUAAUUAUGAGCUGAUACAAAGUAAAAUUAUUAAAUCAUAUCUGCUAAAACAUGAAUGACAAAUUAACAAUGCCUAUAUCCUUACGUCCACAAAUUUUUCUUUUUUUUUUUAAGAAAAAGGACCUAACAAAGAUUUUUAAGACAAAUUAAAAAUCUAAAAGUUCAAAAUCAAGAAAAUAUUAAAAAAGAAAUAUGAGGACCUACAAGAGAGUGGUGCAACUAGCAGUCGCAAAUGAUCAGUCUAGAAUGAAGAGGUAUUGUGGUUUACCUAAUCUCAAUCACUAAGUAAAAUUUGGUGGCAGGAUUGGAGCCUCAAUGGCAUCCAACCAGCAUGAGCAGAGGACAAGGAUGAAGAAGACCAAUGGUGACAUAGAGAAACAAAAAUGUUGAUAGGAGAAAGCAAACUAAGAAAUAAAAAGUACGGUAAGGGAAGGAAAUCGAAAUUGGGCAUCAUCCAUUGAUGCUGUGGUGGACUCCAACAAAAUUGGGUUUCCAAACUCCGUACUCCAUGUGAUUUGCUUGGGAUUCUUUUUUCCUUUUUGAAAUGGAUAAGCUAAUGUAAGGUGUUUAUAGAAGGCAUUAGUCUAGACAUAGUUUAUGCAAAUAUCAAUUAUUUAAAAAGAUUAGAAGGAAGCAAGUUGGCAAGAUUCUUAGAGUGGGAUUAAUUGGGGGAUCUCUCAAUUCAUGCAACCUAAUUAGACUCAGAGAGGAUAAACAACUAUGUAGCUCCACCACUGAAGAUGAUCAUAGAUGGGGAGACGUUUUCCUUAAAUGAGAGAUUGUGAUUUUAUAUAUAUAUAUAUAUAUUUUAAUAAAAGAGAGGUUGACAGGCCACCCGAGUUUAUUACUGAACUUGUAAAUUGUUAGUUUUUAUUUAAAUUAUAACUAUAACAUCCAAUUGACAGCAGUUUAACGAAAAUAGCAGCAUCCAAUAUUGCUAUCUCGAUCACAUGGAGCCUUACUAGGACAUUAAUUUUCAGAGAGUAAACAAGAUGUGAAACAAGAACGAUUAACUUGGGAAAUUGGAACAUGGCAAGAAAAAGCUUACUAAAUAGUCUAUGUAUCCUCUCCAUAAACAGUGUUUUAUAAUGGAGAGGUUGAUGAUAUCUUAGGGAACAGAUAUAAUAAUCAUCUUUUUUUGUUUUGUACAUUGGAUCCACUCAAUGAUCUCAUCAUUUGCCACAUCAAAUUAUAGUUUGACAACUUAGAAUGCCACCUAUACAUGGAGAAAUUUUUGGAUAGAACUGGUCUACAAUGAAUUGAUGAUGUGGAUGAAAAAAAUAUUUUGAGGGAAUAAAGUAGAAAAAAUUAUUGGUUAGAUUUAUGUUACCAUUCGAAUUUUGGAGCAUCCACAAAACUUUAAAAUCUCCUGUUUGGCUGAAAAGUAUGAAUGAAAAUAAAAUACAUAGUUAAUCAUAUUUAGUUAUUUCGAAUCUAAUUUUUGCUGAAUUUUUUUAAAUCUUAUUGAAUGAUGUGGCGAUGUUUUAUUGAAUGGCCUAAAACCUAUGUGGUUAAACAGUUCUGAUCAAUAAUUUUAGGUAAAGCAUAUAUAUGCAUUGCGAUGAUACUGUAGCGGCUAUAGCAUUUUUUCAUCGGUUUAGUCAUACCAUAUUUAUUGUGGACUUAGUGUCCAUCUCAUGCUUUCAAGCCAAGGUUGUGAUUCCGAAUGCUCCGUCUCCAUCACUACGAGAUGAAGGCAAAGCUAGUGACGACUCCGAACAAAUAUCGUGCAUUGGAUGCCAUUCAAUGCGUAUGGACCAAGUCAUUCACAGUUACAAGGGUGGCGGCUAGCCUUGCACCGCCGCCCGUCUUGCUUGUGAUGUAGCCUCCUUGGUGUGAAAUAAAUGAUAAAAUUGCAACAAUAAAUCGGUACAUGUACCACCAACCCACCUUGCCAUAGUGAACACGAAAUCCAUAUCAAGAGCUCAUGACGCUGCGUCCCAUUGACUAGUCAUCAGCAAAGAAAUUCCAAUAGAAGCUUCAAAGCAAUCCAUCUCGAUCUCUUCAUUUCUUGACCAAAACCAAGAUGAGAGAGAUAUUAAAGAUAAGGUUUAGUUACU